UCAAGCUGCCAGCAUGAUCUAAAAAUCUCUGCAUGUGGGGAUUAUCAGAUCAUGCUGCAGUUUAACCU
rnacentral:pre_miRNA from 1 species